AAAGAUUAAGCCAUGCAUGUCUAAGUAUAAGCAACUUGUACAGUGAAACUGCGAAUGGCUCAUUAAAUCAGUUAUCGUUUAUUUGAUAAUCCCUUACUACAUGGAUACCUGUGGUAAUUCUAGAGCUAAUACAUGCUUCAAUGGGUGGCUUUCGUCACCCUGCACUUAUUAGAUAAAAAACCAAUGCCCCUUUGGGGCUCCUUGGUGAUUCAUAAUAAUUUAGCGGACCGCAUUCCCUCGAGGAGGCGGUGGAUCAUUCAAAUUUCUGCCCUAUCAACUUUCGAUGGUAGGAUAGUGGCCUACCAUGGUUUCAACGGGUAACGGGGAAUUAGGGUUCUAUUCCGGAGAGGGAGCCUGAGAAACGGCUACCACAUCCAAGGAAGGCAGCAGGCGCGCAAAUUACCCAAUCCCAAUACGGGGAGGUAGUGACAAUAAAUACUGAUACAGGGCUCUUCUGAGUCUUGUAAUUGGAAUGAGUACAAUUUAAAUCCCUUAACGAGGAACAAUUGGAGGGCAAGUCUGGUGCCAGCAGCCGCGGUAAUUCCAGCUCCAAUAGCGUAUAUUAAAGUUGUUGCAGUUAAAAAGCUCGUAGUUGAACCUUGGGCCUGGCUGGCCGGUCCGUCUCAUCGCGUGUACUGGUCCGGCUGGGCCUUUCCUUCUGGCUAGGCACAUGCCCUUUACUGGGUGUGUGUCCGAACCAGGACUUUUACUUUGAAAAAAUUAGAGUGUUCAAAGCAGGCAUAUGCUCGAAUACAUUAGCAUGGAAUAAUAGAAUAGGACGUGUGGUUCUAUUUUGUUG
rnacentral:rRNA from 1 species